UGACUGCAGAAAAGGCAGGACACUCUUCCAGGAAAAAAACCUGAUAGAGAGUUUCUUGGGGGUGUGAACCUUAAGGCAAGGCUUAGAAAGAGCAUAAGAGAGGCCAUGGGGAAGCUGCUGGAGUUCCCAGGAAGAUGAGGCAGUAGGAGAAAACCCUGCUGAACAAGAAACAACAGGGGAGGAACUCUGCAUGAAUAGGUUAGGUGCCUGUGGGAGGGAAGGCCAAAAGUAGGGCAAGUAUGAGCACUUCAGUGAAGUCUCAGUGGGUGGAAGACUCGUUAGUUUAGAGGUUUACUUGGAUUUUUCAGUAGACUUUUGUUAUCCUAGAAGAGGUUUAGAACUUAUGUGAGUUGCUCAGAAGGCCAGGCCACAGAAGACUUUGGAAGUCAGGGAUGUGUGAAGAUAGGUGGCCUGUAAAGGGUGCUAGAGGAAAAAACUAUGAUAACACCCUGACUCCUGGGGGUGCAUAUGUGGAGCUUUUGAGCAGAGAAAGCAGCAACAAGAUGUUCCUGUAGGUGUUCAGCACCUCUCAGGAUCUCUGCCAUAGCUUGGAAGGGUGGCUCUAACUCAGCUAGGUACCACCUACAGAAGCAAAACGAAACAGUGCUACAACACGAUCCCUAACUCUGUAAAUUUGGCAAUGUGAUAAGGUCUUGAUGAAAAAUGCCAUAUGCUAUCUGUAUGCAGGGUUGGUAGCUGUACUGGUCCCAUGAUA